ACAAGAGGACGAGGAGUGUGUGAAACUCUACAAGGCAAGCUUCACUUUGAGAACAUUUGCAACAGCAGAGUUGCAUCCAAAUGACUGUGUGUUAAUGUCUGAUUUCUGAAAAUUAGUCCUACUGGCAGAGAUGCCUAUUGCAUCUGGAGCUGCAGGCAGAGUGGAUGUAAGAGUAGAUACAAGCACAAAGAGGAAGACCAAACCUGCCAACAGGAACUGUGACUCCUAUCUGCAAAGAUACCAGGAGCAGAGAAAGAAGAACAAAGGCAACUUGUUGCAGGUGAGUGCUGUCAUCAACUAGAGACUCAUCAGUGAUUGGUUAAGAGGCUGUCUGGCGCAAAGUGGUCAUGUGGCUGUCGUUCAUCUGAUUAAGUUUGUUUCUACUCAGGGCAUCACAGAUCCAAGUGAUCAGGUGAAUGACGGAGCCAAAGAAGGGAACCCACAGGGCAAUGGCGGCAGCGAGGAUCCCACUUCAGGAAAACCAUCCAGUGGAGAGAGAUCCAAAAAGUCUCAGCUGUGCGUUCUCCUUUAAGGCCAUCACAUCUCAUGUGGACAUUUAAUGAACUCGCCUUUCACACUCUACGUUAUCAUGUAUUAUUUAAGUGCCAACCCCUUGUGUGUCUUGUGUCCUUGCUUUACCUUUACAGUUGUGAGGAAAAAAGGGAUCAAAGGUUGUUACUGUGCAACACUGUGCACGAUGUUUCCUUUUUGUAAAGCUAAGGCUAUAUGUCUAUCAGUGUUAAAUUCAAUAACAGAAGAUUGUUCAAACAGGUUAUCUUUUAACUGAAUUAACUGAACUUUUAUUGGUGCUUGUCAGUGUUAAUAAUGUUGCAGUAUAAUACUGCAAGAUCUAAAUUCUUAAAAGCAAUAUUUAAAUGCUUAAAUUAUCAUUAUGUCAUAUGUAUUGAAUAGUAUUUCAUGUUGUGUUAUAAAACAGU